CCUCUUCCCAUUCCGAACAGAGAAGUUAAGCCCUCCUGCGCCGAUGGUACUGCAGAGCAAAAUGUGGGAGAGUAGGUCGCCGCCGACU
rnacentral:rRNA from 1 species